GACGAAGGGGGCUAGCGUUGUUCGGAAUUAUUGGGCGUAAAGAGCUCGUAGGCGGUCUGUCACGUCGGAUGUGAAAAUCCAGGGCUUAACCCUGGACCUGCAUUCGAUACGGGCAGACUAGAGUUCGGUAGGGGAGACUGGAAUUCCUGGUGUAGCGGUGAAAUGCGCAGAUAUCAGGAGGAACACCGGUGGCGAAGGCGGGUUGCUGGGCCGACACUGACGCUGAAGCGCGAAAGCCAGGGGAGCGAACGGG
rnacentral:rRNA from 1 species